rnacentral:misc_RNA from 1 species
GAUGAAGAACGUAGCGAAAUGCGAUAAGUAGUGUGAAUUGCAGAAUUCAGUGAAUCAUCGAAUCUUUGAACGCACAUUGCGCCCUUUGGUAUUCCAAAGGGCAUGCCUGUUCGAGCGUCAUUUGUACCCUCAAGCUUUGCUUGGUGUUGGGCGUCUUGUCUCUAGCUUUGCUGGAGACUCGCCUUAAAGUAAUUGGCAGCCGGCCUACUGGUUUCGGAGCGCAGCACAAGUCGCACUCUCUAUCAGCAAAGGUCUAGCAUCCAUUAAGCCUUUUUUUCAACUUUUGACCUCGGAUCAGGUAGGGAUACCCGCUGAACUUAAGCAUAUCAGUAAGCGAGGA